CUCCCUUGUAUCUGGACCUCUGAGUGGUUCUUCAUACCUUGUUUUGUAAUGUAGUGCAUAAAUAUAGUCUAGCUUGAUGGUGCUGUGUGUCACAGUCAUGUUACAUUCAAGACACUGUCUCUCAUAUUUCCUUCUAUUUCUAUACUGCAGCAAACCCAGAACACAACACCCUAUGACAGCAAAAGCCGACUUCCAGUGGAUGUUGUGUCUGUGAGUCAUUCGAAGCACGUGUCUGCCUUCAGUAACUUCUCAACCAACCUGCCUGCUUCAAAGCCAGCACCAAAGGCUCAACCUGCAGCUAUCCUUGAGGAAGGCAUCAUAAAAGCUGAGAUAAGGCCGCGAUUGGGUGAGAGAGACGACACUCUACCUCCAAAUUACAGGUUUCCAAAGGAGCCAGUACCUGUUGCACCAGUUGCUGUGGAAAACACGCCUGCGAUGGACUCUGAGACAGCUCUGGACAUACUGACUGGAGACUUUAUCCUUCCUUAGUUACCACUGAAGGGGCGGCAUGGUGGUGUGGUGGUUAGCACAAGUCUCCGCCUCGGCUCCAUGUGUGUGGAAUUUGCAUGCUCUCCCCAUGUCAUCGUGGGGUUUCCCCCCCACAGUCCAAAGACAUGCUGAG